CCGCCGAGUGAACAGUACCGCGCGUGAACAGUGGUGAGGUUUAAACAUAAUUUAAAUUCUAUUUUUUAGCUAGUUAAAUCCUAUAAUUUUUGUAGAGGUUGAUUAUGUGAAUUUGGUUGGAAUUGGAGAAGUUUUUAAUCGAUUAUAAAUUUCUAAAGAUUUGGAUUUCGGUUAAUGUUAAUCGUGAAUCCGAUUGUCGGAUUUCCUCCAUAAUUGUUAUAUAGUCUGAAAUCGACGAGUGGGCAGUGUUUGUGAAGUUUGGUAAUUUUUGGAGAAACUUGGAAUUAAGUAUGAAUUUUGAAGUUUAGGGUUUCGAUUAUCGAAUUACGAGAAUCUGACCGUCGGAUAUCUCUCGGUUCUACCUUGAAACCUUUAAAUUAACGAAUUGGUAUUAGUGGUAUAAUUUGGGCUAAAUCCAAGG
rnacentral:lncRNA from 1 species